GACGAACGCUGGCGGCGUGCCUAAUACAUGCAAGUCGAACGCAGUGGGGACGGGUGAGUAACACGUGGGUAACCUCCCAUCAGAGGGAUAAAACUUGGAAACAGGGGCUAACACGAUACUGAUGGGUUGACCCGCGGUGCAUUAGCUAGUUGGGGAGGUAACUGCCCACCAAGGCCACGAUGCAUAGCCGAACUGAGAGGGUGAUCGGCCACACUGGGACUGAGACACGGCCCAGACUCCUACGGGAGGCAGCAGUAGGGAAUCUUCGGCAAUGGACGAAAGUCUGACCGAGCAACGCCGCGUGAGUGAAGAAGGUUUUCGGAUCGUAAAACUCUGUUGUUAGAGAAGCGGUAUCUAACCAGAAAGCCACGGCUAACUACGUGCCAGCAGCCGCGUUAAUAC
rnacentral:rRNA from 1 species